rnacentral:tRNA from 1 species
GCCCGGGUAGCUCAAUGGUAGAGCAACACUUUUGUAAAGUGAAGGUUGGAGAUUCGAAUUCUCUCCCGGGCUCCA